rnacentral:rRNA from 1 species
GCUCAGGACGAACGCUGGCGGCGUGCUUAACACAUGCAAGUCGAACGGUGAAGCCCAGCUUGCUGGGUGGAUCAGUGGCGAACGGGUGAGUAACACGUGAGUAACCUGCCCCUGACUCUGGGAUAAGCCUUGGAAACGAGGUCUAAUACCGGAUAUGUGACGUUCAGGCAUCUGAUGCGUCUGGAAAGAUUUAUCGGUCAGGGAUGGACUCGCGGCCUAUCAGCUUGUUGGUGGGGUAACGGCCUACCAAGGCGACGACGGGUAGCCGGCCUGAGAGGGCGACCGGCCACACUGGGACUGAGACACGGCCCAGACUCCUACGGGAGGCAGCAGUGGGGAAUAUUGCACAAUGGGCGCAAGCCUGAUGCAGCGACGCCGCGUGAGGGAUGAAGGCCUUCGGGUUGUAAACCUCUUUCAGCAGGGAAGAAGCGCAAGUGACGGUACCUGCAGAAGAAGCGCCGGCUAACUACGUGCCAGCAGCCGCGGUAAUACGUAGGGCGCAAGCGUUGUCCGGAAUUAUUGGGCGUAAAGAGCUCGUAGGCGGUCUGUCGCGUCUGCUGUGAAAACUCGAGGCUCAACCUCGGGCUUGCAGUGGGUACGGGCAGACUAGAGUGCGGUAGGGGAGACUGGAAUUCCUGGUGUAGCGGUGGAAUGCGCAGAUAUCAGGAGGAACACCGAUGGCGAAGGCAGGUCUCUGGGCCGCAACUGACGCUGAGGAGCGAAAGCAUGGGGAGCGAACAGGAUUAGAUACCCUGGUAGUCCAUGCCGUAAACGUUGGGCACUAGGUGUGGGGCUCAUUCCACGAGUUCCGUGCCGCAGCAAACGCAUUAAGUGCCCCGCC